CCACUUGAUGAAGAUGACAUCAUGUCCUAUAUCCUCACGGGACUUGAUGCUGAAUACAAUCCGCUAGUUGAGGCGGUAAGUGCUAGAAUUGAUGCAGUAAGUUUAAGUGAUCUCUAUGCUUAGUUGUUGUCCACA